rnacentral:rRNA from 1 species
GCCGCGGUAAUACAGAGGGUGCAAGCGUUAAUCGGAAUUACUGGGCGUAAAGCGCACGUAGGCGGUUUUUUAAGUCAGAUGUGAAAGCCCCGGGCUCAACCUGGGAAUUGCAUUUGAAACUGGAAAACUAGAGUGUGUGAGAGGGGGGUAGAAUUCCAAGUGUAGCGGUGAAAUGCGUAGAGAUUUGGAGGAAUACCAGUGGCGAAGGCGGCCCCCUGGCACAACACUGACGCUCAGGUGCGAAAAGCGUGGGGAGCNAAUAGGAUAAAGAUACCCUGGUAGUCCACGCCGUAAACGAUGUCUACUAGCCGUUCGUGACCUUGUGUCGUGAGUAGCGCAGCUAACGCACUAAGUAGACCGCCUGGGGAGUACGGUCGCAAGAUUAAAACUCAAAUGAAUUGACGGGGGCCCGCACAAGCGGUGGAGCAUGUGGUUUAAUUCGACGCAACGCGAAGAACCUUACCUACUCUUGACAUCCAGAGAAGACUGCAGAGAUGCGGUUGUGCCUUCGGGAACUCUGAGACAGGUGCUGCAUGGCUGUCGUCAGCUCGUGUUGUGAAAUGUUGGGUUAAGUCCCGCAACGAGCGCAACCCUUAUCCCUAGUUGCCAGCACGUAAAUGGUGGGAACUCUAGGGAGACUGCCGGUGAUAAACCGGA